CACCUCCUCAUCUGCAGAAAAGCCCAAUUCAGAAGUAAACUCACAGUUGACCCGUUCACAACUUCCCUCCCAAGCUGAGCAGAAGGGGAAAUCUGAUAUGAAUAUUGUGUCAGCUGCUAUCUGAAGGACCAAUUUUAUGAUGACCUGCUUCUUCCAGGACCUCAAAAAAACUUGGCAAUGAACCGAGGAGAGUUUGGAGCACUAAGAUGUGCUUAUAUGGAGCACUAAGAGCAGCUUAUUCAGCAGCCUAUCCGCCCUCAGUGUAGCAGUUAGUAAUCAGCUACUGAGUGAUGCAGACCAUGGGCAGGCCCCUGGGAUCUGAGUGAAUGCUGAACAAGACAACCGUUAACAAGGUCUGGACUGGACCUUUUGUAAGCUGACAGUGUAAGGAUAUUUCUGGACAUGUCUGCACCAAACACACGCCCACACCUUCGAGGUGAGCUGGAAGCCACCGUUUCUUCUGCAGUGAAGCCAUGUUGUAAUGGAAUCUGCAGCCAGCCCCACCGCAAGGAGGGACUAGGUGCUGUUGCAUCUGCUCCUGACCCUGUUUCAUCUCCUGCAACAUGUUGCACCUUCAGAAGCUGUGAGUUUUGGAGAUGCACCUCUCCAACCUGUCAAGUCAUUUACAGAGAUUGACAGCUGCCUAAUAGCCAUGCUGGCUGUCCAUCUGCCAGUUGGGUAUUGCUCAGGAUGCGGGAGGCAGGCAGAAAGGCCUCUCUCCAUCUUCCCCUCCCAUUGACCAGGGACAUUUCAGAGCAAGCAAAAGAUGUUUCUUCAAAUUUCUUUUCCUAGUGGUCCCCUGCUCUCUGGUUUUCUUAUGCUCAGGCAGGGCAGGGCAGUGAGGGAGGUGAGGACCGUGCUGGUGGGGCUGCACUCCUCACCCGUGUGCAUGGUGUGCUGGGAGGGAAUCACAGCCAGCAGAAGGCCUUGACAAAGCAAAUGAGCAGCUUCUGGAUUUUGCCUGUUGUAAAGCACAAGAGUAGGGGGGCGUUCAACAAAACAAAAUGUAUCAAAACCAAUAAACACCUGUAGCUUUUUUUUUUUUAUUCAGAGUGGCAGUAGGGGGCUCCCAGGACAGCAACUCAGCAAGGAGUGAAAGGGGAUUAGACUUCUACAGAUAGUGAGGACAUUCAAAGGCAGAGCAGUUCAGGCCAACAACAUUUUUCAGUGGGAUGUCACAAUGUGUGUGGCAGGGAUGGAGUCACUCUCUGACAAACUGAGAUUAGAACAGAAACCGCAAUGCAGAGGAUGAGAGCAAAUAAUCCCAAAUCUGACUGCUAGCUUCCUCCCAGGAAACUGCGGACUCUUCAUUUGCUGGGCUAAGGGUACCUCCACGCUGUACCUCCACAGUCCUGUGUCUAGCGGCAUUAUAGCUUGUUUGUUGAAAUACUAAAUUUUUAGGGAAAAGUUUGCUUGUUUGCUUUGAUUCACUGCUUGUUAGUGUGUGGGAGGCAGUUUAACCACAACCCAGACUGCUUGGGAGUCACUUUUAUGCUAAGAAACUGUCUCUCUCAGAUUUCUCCUACUAACUAAAGUAGGCUGAUUGUAAACAGAACAGGAAAAAAAAGGGGGCAUAAAUUCUCCCUGUCCUCCACGUACAUUACUCAGUAAAGCAAAUGAUCCCUGUCACAAGAGGACAUAAUUCCCGUCCUCCUUCUCUUGCUUUAAAGCAAGAUGUGAAGAAUCAGCACAGUGGGGAAAACUGCUCAGAACAUAAGCUGAGAGAGCACGACAUCAGGAUAUAGUCACGUUGUGGUGUGAAGUAGUUUCUGCUUAUGAUGACAGUUGGAAACCUGAUGAAAAUGCCUCUUGUUGAUAAGACAAGUUCAUAUAGGUUUCAACUUGAAGAAUUAAGGGCUAUUAAAUGAUAUUAGGAGCCGUUCAAAACAAGCGGGUAGGUUUUAUUGACUAUGGGUGGUAGACCUGUGCAAAGCAUAGUUAAAGGACUGUGUGGAUGCGAAGCGUUUACACUGGCUUAAGGGAAGACAUGACAAGGAUAAGGAAGACAUCCUUUGGGGAUUAUGAGUAGACAAAGCACAUGAGUCUUAAGAAUCCCUGAAAUAAUUAAAGGCUGGGAGAGUGCUUGGGAGAAUUUAUACGUGCUAGCCAUGUUUUCUUUUUUUUCCCUGGGCAUUUGCUUCUGCACUAUUUGGUACAGAUGUCAAUAGAUAUGGGAUUAGGCUGACCCUUAGGAGUAAUGACUAUGUGUAUGUUCUUAUGAGGAUAGUUGCUACUCCAUGGUGCUGUAAGUAAGACUGCAAACAUCUCACUGAAAAUAUUUAGAUAAGACGAACUUUUGACAAUCUGUUGUUUUGGAAACCAAAGGCAAAAUUUAAGUUCUCCAGUGUGGGUUCCUGCCUAGUCCCUCACCCAGAAAUUCCUGCUGGAAUAGGAGGGAGGACUCAAAGGCAUAAACAUCAUCUUGUUUUGAGGUCAUUCUAAUCAGUUAUCAUAGCAAUUUGGUGGCUUUCUUGGAAGCUCUAACAUCUGUUAGUUCAAAAAAAGUUGUUUGGCUUUCCUUGGGUGAAGUUGCUUAGUGCAGCAUUUCAAAGGUCCUUCCUUCCCACACUUCACCAGUGCAAAGAAAUUCUGGACCAGCUCUGACUCUAUUGGUGAUCCCACUUAUAUGCUGGCUAGGGCUCCAGCUGUGAGUUCCUCUUCCCCUAAAGAUAAGACUGUGAGAGCCAGAAAAAGUUGAUUAUCAGGCAUAGAAAGAUUUCCAUACUCAUCAUACCCUUCAACAGUAGGUGCUUUUACAUCUCCUUAAAUGUCAUAUUUAAAUUCCAUUUUAAAUUCCAUUUUAAAACCUAGUGCAGGAAGGAAACUUAAAAUAGUUUUGCCAAUAGCUAUAGGCUUUGACGUUGGAGUCUGUUGGAAAACUCAGGCAAGGCACAGGGAGACAUUAGCUGUUUCACUCGCCUCCACAAGAUAAUGUCUAUUAGUACAAGUGCUUCAGGAGAGGGUGGGAGGUUGAAAGGUGAUAUCCCCAAAGAGUCAUUCUGUUAUGUUUCUUCUACAGCAGCUUGGCAAGUUGCAGUCUAAUACCAGCUCCUGGUCAGCUUUUUUUCUCCUAUCAUCUUCACGCCUACAUUCCUGUGGUUUUACUUGAAAGGAAUACAUGACAUAAAUCUAUACAAAUGCCAAACAUGCCCCCAGCUGCUGAGCUGAGUAUUUCUGAUUCAGAGCAGCACCAAAUAACUGCACAGAACAGGUCUGGAAUAGCCUUAGAAGAAUAGGAGGGGAAAAAAAAGUCAGACUUUACAACACUUCCAUUGAAAAGCCUGGAGAUGCAAGGGUGACCGUAACAAGAGCUGACUUGUCUUUGACAUCAUCGUCAAAUAAUAUUUGCUACAUAUCAGAGUGAUACAAUUUUUUCUCACCGGAGCUGCCAACUUAGGCCUGAUUCUGUAAGAGUCCAAGCACCUUCAGCAAUGGAUUGUGAGGCUUAUGAGCAUCUUGUGGGAACAUGCCUGCUCCUUCAGAUUUUCCUCAGGAAAUGAGUGCACUUGCAAGGCUUUCCUGUUGGAAAUAAACCAGUCAUAAUUUUUAUUAUGAUUGUAAUACUCAGGCUCCAUGGUUCAAGCUACCAUACAAAUAGUACUUUAGAUUUGCAGCGUUUGAGAUAGUGGUCUUUUCUUUACAGUCUAAAAUGUUUUAUUUCAUUUUGUAGCAGCUUUUGCCUUCUGGAGGUCUCCUGAGCAGUCCCAGCACACUGCUUAUGACACAUACAGCUCAAUGCAGGCCAAUACCAAGAUGCAGAUCUAAGUGACUUGCCAACAUUUGAGAAAGUGCAAUCUUAUAUUAGCAAUAUAUUUUCUAUACAGCUCUUCUUAUGUAAUUUUCUGUCACUCACAUUUUCUAUUAAGUUUUUUUAGGGAAGAGUCUGACAAAUGACUUGUAGUAUAGAUAUAAAGCUACAUUUGGUGUCAUUGGUUUGAUACUCAAGAAGUUUUACAUGAAAAAACAUACACUAAAUCAACAUUAAGACUGCAAAUUUAAGCACUUAGAAUUUAGGGACACCUCAGGUUUAAUUUUCCUGUUCACUUUUCAUUCAUCCUCCUCAUGUGUACACAUGUGAACUCAGUGCUCAAUGACAAAUUAACAUGCUAUUUUUAAUUUGGAACAAAUCUCUUCGGUGACUUUAUAAACUAUUUAAUAAACUAUCAAAAACUUCUUUCCCCCACAUUUUUGGCUAGUGAUUAUAUGUCCAGUAUAUUUUUUGUUCUUCAUUUAUCACUAUACUUGCACACACACACACACACAAAAAUAAAAAAUAAUUUGUUUUCUCAACAGCUGUAUUCAGAGUUAGAGGACUGAGACUAAAAUCUGGAAAAUACACUCAUUCUGGACAUCCCUUAUGAUAUACUAGAUCCUUGAUUUUCUGACCACUACCAGUCAUACAGCUCCUGUGCCUGAAGCACAGCUUGCUAUUGACUUAAGAUGCAACUGGACAUAUUGGGCAUUUUUGCAAAGUGGAUCCUUGGUGCCUGAUUAAGUAUGCAGAGAAUGAGGAAAACACAAUAGUGAGGAUUACAUUGAAAUUUAAUUUUGAAACCUAAUAUUUCCAGCAAGCUGGAAACCUUUAAUUUUUGCCAGCUCUUCAAUAGAAAGCUUCCUUUGCAUUGGUGAGGCAUGCAGGUAAUGGAAAGACUGAUGAAAAGAAAAGCAUAUGAAUUAAACCAAACUUGAAAAAGAUGAUGGGUCUUUAGGUUCCUUCAGUGAUUAGAUGAAAAUAUUUCUCUUUUUUUGAUUAAUGGAAGUUCUUUCAUUGACUGUAAUGACAGGUAGAUGAAAUCUCAUGCGACAUAAUGCCUCAUUUCUGUGCAAAGUUCAUGCUCAUUUAAUUUAAUAGAGACUUAUAUUAGAAAGUAAAAUCUCUUACAAAGUUUUCUUAGAAACGUCCCCAUCCUCCAUCCCUGUAAUUUCUUUAAUGAAGCUUUUCAAAUCUCACUUUUUAAAAUUUCUCAGACUGAACUGUCACUCUGCUUCCCCAUGAUGAAUCACAUUUUGCCACAAUGGUUGAAGGGAAAGACAUCCAAAGUGCAAGGGCUAUAAAUUCACAGAUAUAAUCAGCCACACACAGUGGUGUUACUUUACCCUCCCAUUUCCUCCAGACCUGUAGCUUAUUAGAUGCCCCGGCCAAAAGCUUAGGGCCUUGUGUUGUCUCUAAUGUAUGGUGAAUUAAUUUUUCAAACCACAUCUUUUAAGCAAACCACUCUUUUUUUUGGAGAAUUUCAAGUCUCCUUUUGAAGCCAGAAUGUGUUCAUUGCUUAAGGCCUUGGGACAUUGUAACUUCUGCAGUGUUAACAUGGACAGAACCUUGAAGGGGGCUGCAGUUGACAUGGGUAUCAGCCUUGCUGAGGGUUUUUUUAAAUCACUGUGUCUCUCAUUCCUAUAUUCUCUGUGUUAGUGCCCAAGUGUAUUUCUGAUAAUUCAGUUAAUUUCUCUUUUCAUUUUUUGACAAAUAUAAUGUAUGUAGCACUAAAAUUAAAGAUGGUUUUAAUCAACUAGAAAUUUGGAAAAGAACCAUGUAGGAAAGAGAAGAAUGGCCUGGCUUUCCUAAUUGAUUCAUUAUCUUGCAACAAACAAGGAAAGAGUGACUGUUGAAACAGCUUUAGCAGCCCUACCUUGCCCCUAGCCUUUGCAACUGCAAUAUGAGCUCAUCCACCAUUUGCCAGGAUCUAAACAAUUGGACAAUUUUUUGCUGCUCUGGUUUACACUUUUUGAUUUUAUAUUAACAUUUGUCUGAAGAAAGUGACAGCGAGCCAGCAAGCAAGGGAAUAAUUCUGUACAUGUGCGUGCACAUACGUAUAUGCCUGUGGGAUUUUGGAUACAUGCAUGUGAGUAUUCGGUGGAUGAAAGAUUGUCACUGAGGUUAGCCACAGAGCGAGAAGGAGAAGGACCGCAACCAUCUGACUGGGACAGAAACAUGAGUCAGUGUCCUCAUUUUUGGUUCUUCAUAAAGAAACCUAUUCAUCACGUGGCCCUGGAUGAACCACUAAGGUCAGACUUUGCUCCAAUGUUUUUCCAGUGGACAGCAGGAAGAAAGAGCAGUAAAAGACACUUGAGAAGGUCAAAGCCAACAGGGAGUGACUUGAAAGGAAAGAAUGACCAGUGGCCCCAUGGAAGGGAGCAGAGUCUUGUGGUAUCAUUUUCUUUGCACCUGGAAAAAAACCCAGCACCUUCUCUCUCCUGCUAUUUCUGUAUGGCAUGAAUACAUACUUCUGAGACAGCCUUUAUCCCAGACAUGUUUAAGACAAGGUUAAGUUUUAAUAAAAAUAAUUUACUCUGAU